rnacentral:rRNA from 1 species
CCUACGGGAGGCAGCAGUGAGGAAUAUUGGUCAAUGGGCGGGAGCCUGAACCAGCCAAGCCGCGUGAGGGAAGAAGGUACUGCGUAUCGUAAACCUCUUUUGUCAGGGAACAAAGGCGGGUACUAGUCCCCGGAUGAGCGUACCUGAAGAAAAAGCAUCGGCUAACUGCGUGCCAGCAGCCGCGGUAACACGGAGGAUGCGAGCGUUAUCCGGAUUUAUUGGGUUUAAAGGGUGCGCAGUCGGCCCGUAAAGUCUGCGGUAAAAGCCCGGGGCUAAACCCUGUCUAGCCGUUGAAACUGGCAGUCUUGAGUACAGUAGAGGUAGGCGGAAUUCGUGGUGUAGCGGUGAAAUGCUUAGAUAUCACGAAGAACUCCGAUUGCGAAGGCAGUUUACUGGACUGCAACUGACGCUGAGGCUCGAAAGUGUGGGUAUCAAACAGGAUUAGAUACCCGUGUAGUC